rnacentral:rRNA from 1 species
AAUGGGCGGAAGCCUGAUGCAGCAACGCCGCGUGAGGGACGAAGGCCUUCGGGUCGUAAACCUCUUUUCUGUGGGACGAGACAAGGACGGUACCACAGGAAUCAGUCUCGGCUAACUACGUGCCAGCAGCCGCGGUAAAACGUAGGAGGCGAGCGUUAUCCGGAUUUACUGGGCGUAAAGCGCACGCAGGCGGCUUGGUAAGUUGGACGUGAAAGCUCCUGGCUUAACUGGGAGAGGCCGUUCGAAACUGCCGGGCUUGAGGUUGGGAGAGGGGUGUGGAAUUCCCGGUGUAGUGGUGGAAUGCGUAGAUAUCGGGAGGAACACCAGUGGCGAAGGCGGCACCCUGGCCCACACCUGACGCUGAGGUGCGAAAGCGUGGGGAGCAAA